GACGAACGCUGGCGGCGUGCCUAAUACAUGCAAGUUGAGCGAUGAAGAUUGGUGCUUGCACCAAUUUGAAGAGCAGCGAACGGGUGAGUAACGCGUGGGGAAUCUGCCUUUGAGCGGGGGACAACAUUUAGGAAACGAAUGCUAAUACCGCAUAACAACUUUAAACAUAAGUUUUAAGUUUGAAAGAUGCAAUUGCAUCACUCAAAGAUGAUCCCGCGUUGUAUUAGCUAGUUGGUGGGGUAACGGCCCACCAUGGCGACGAUCAGUAGCCGGUCUGAGAGGAUGAACGGCCAUAUUGGGACUGAGAUACGGCCCAG
rnacentral:rRNA from 1 species